rnacentral:rRNA from 1 species
UACGAAGGGGGCUAGCGUUGCUCGGAAUCACUGGGCGUAAAGCGCACGUAGGCGGCUUUCUAAGUCAGGGGUGAAAUCCUGGAGCUCAACUCCAGAACUGCCUUUGAUACUGGAGAGCUUGAGUCCGGGAGAGGUGAGUGGAACUCCGAGUGUAGAGGUGAAAUUCGUAGAUAUUCGGAAGAACACCAGUGGCCGAAGGCGGCUCACUGGCCCCGGUACUGACGCUGAGGUGCGAAAGCGUGGGGAGCAAACAGGG